AGUUGAGAUUUGCACAACAUGGAUGAACCUGGAGGGCAUAUGCUCAAUGAAACAAGCCAGUCAGAGAAACACUGCCUGGGGUCACUUACAUGUGAACUCGAAAAACAAUAAAAGAAAGAUCAAUUCACAGAAACAGAGAGUAGAAAAGUGGUGGCCAGUGGCUGUGGAGUGGGAGGAAGAGGGAGAGGCAGGUAAAAGGGGACAAACUUUCAGCUCUGAGAUCAAGAAGCUCUGAGGAUCUCACGUCUGAUGUGGUGACUAGAGUCAAGAACACUGAAUUGUAUAAUUGACAUCAGCUAAGAGAGCAGCACUUCAGUGUCCUCACACACACACAGUCAAUAAGUGAGGUGAAAACAACAAUCAGAGUUGAGGACAGAGGAGAAUCAGGGUAUGAAUCCCUGGGAACCAGCCCAAAUUGCCAGGAGAACUUCAGACUUUCAAAGGCCAUGAGAUAGGUGGGUUCAAACCAAGAAUCCAGGAGACGCAGGGAACCGGGUGACAUCUGGCUUCCAGGUGGAAGGAAUACAAAACUAGCUAAGGUCUAGAAGGCCCAGGAGGGUGGAGGGAGGCAGUUGUAGGUCAGUUGGUGGCGGAGGGGCUGUGGUCCAAUCUGCUUCCCUGCUGUCCCCUCCCCCCCCUCAGAAGCCCUUGUGACACGGCCACAGUUCCAUGAUGAGGACGUGGGGUUCUAAUCUCCAAGUCACUCCCAGUGCUCAGUUGCCUGAGAGUAGAACUGUAUUUGAGAUAUGGAAACUCCUAUCUUAUAUGUAAAAAGCAUUGUUGCUACCUGGUUGAGCUCCAGUUCCACUUCCUGGGUGAUUGGGACCAUCCUCUGCAUCCUGUGUGGACUGGGGCUCUUCCUCCUGUUCCUUCCCUCCAUAGGAAUUCGUCCUUACAACCACCUUACAAAAGGAGAAAGGUCAGGAAGUGGAGCCGAGAGGGAGGAGCAGCAGGAACAGGAAGAAAAGGGAAGCUUUGAAAGCUCACAGAGCUGGCCGGAAGGACCUGGCAGAAGUGGGGGGCCUGAUGUCCUUUUCGUAAAGGUAAGGAAUCUUGCCCUUCUCUCCUGGAUUUCUUGCUCCCAGAGUCUCUGAUGUGCCCCAGGGCUACAGGCAGCUUGGGGCCGAACUGUGACGUGAGCCAUGGGGCAGGGGUUGGCAAGAGGCCUGGGGUGAGGGACAGCAGGAGAAUUUGGUGAAGUGAAGGUAGGGCCAGGGUGGGCCAUGGGUCUCAAAGGGCCACCCCCACCUGGCCUGCGCUGCAGUCCCAGGGCCCUCUGCUCAUGGCUAUAGAUUGUGCAUCUUGUUUCCCGCAGCUCCCCGGGGAGGCUGUCUUGUAAGGGAUGCUUCCACUGCUUGUCAUCUCAAGACUCCCCUGGGGAGGCAUGCAAGACAGCGUCUGCUAGAGUCCACCAGCCAUGCGGGAAGCCUGUGGAAGUUGCUCCUCUCACCACGAAUCCAGCACUUUCCCUAGCUUUUCUGACCCAGCCCACUCUAUCUUUGGCCUCCACUCUGCCAGCAGAACAUCCAUCUGCCUUGACCAGAACUCCACUAGACCCUGUUGCUACGAGCUCAGCCCCAGCUCACUCCUGUUUCCCAUCUACCAACUCAGGCCACGGGCGCACAAGCUGUUGCAUUGAGUUCCUCAGCAAAUCUAUGAAUUAUCCUUUUGUUGGUUUGAGUCAAAUGUGAAGGAAAUGUCCUGUGGAAAGUUCCAAGCAUGCCAGGUCUUCGUUUUCUUACUGGACAUGGGCUAGUUUAGGAGCAUUGUGUGAUGGAGCCUAAAGGAUGGACUUUGAGGACAACCGGGUCUGGGGCUGAACAAAAGCUUAGCCAUUUGUGAACUGCCUGAUCUAAGACAUGUUCUUAACCAUUCUGAAUUUCAGUUUCUCAAUCCAGGUAAAGAGAAUAAUAAGAUUUACCAGUAGGAGUUAUAGGAGUUAGUUUCUUUUCUGGUUCUCUGAUCUACUCUGUAAUUUUGGCAAGUCGUGUGACCUCUUCAGGCCUACUUAUCUUUGAGCGAAAAUGAAGGUCUUAGUGGUUCUCCACAGGAAUAUGAUUUUCUCCCACCCAGGGGCAUCUGGAAGUGUGUUUGGUGUUUUUUGAUUGUCAUGAAACUAAGGGAAUCAAGAAUGUAAAGUGCCCUGUAAGGGGGAGGACAGUCCCAUACAACAGAGAAUUGUUCCAUCAGAAAAUCAAUGUAGCCCUGUUGUGAAACCCAAUUAGAUCAUCUCUGAAGUCCUUGUCACCUUAACAUUUCAUCAUUUUACUCUAUGUCAUUGUUUCCUUACAAUUAUGAUGGAUGAACUAGAUAAUUAAAUGCUAUGAGCCACCCUGCCACACAUGAGCAUGUUUAUCAAAAUGAAGGAUGGUGGAAUAAAGAACUGGCUCUUUUUGGGUUGGAGUAAAGU
rnacentral:lncRNA from 1 species